GCCUGUGUAGCACAGUGGGAGUUGCGGUCCUUUCGUAUUACGUAAGACUCGCGUUAGAAACGAUCUAGGGACAGGUCCGAGGUUCAAUCCCUCGUACAGGCA